AGUUGGCUUGCUGUCUGGAACUUCUCCUUUACUCAUUCUGAUGGAGAAACGUACCAUGAUAUGAAUGGCCCUAAGAACUGAGACCCUCAGUCUAGUCGCCUAAGAAGAGUGACGUCAGAGGCCCUGGAUUCCAGAGGGCACAGCCACAAAAAGGUAGGGCCUCUGCCAGCCUGGAUCCCUGAGUACAGUGUGGAUCAAAGCUCCCUGCUUACUCCUAGCCAAAGCACAGAAGAGCCAUGUGAAUUCUCCAGGUUGCUCUUCUCCGGUAGCAGUGACAGGUUGGAUUGCAGACUUCACUCGAUUUGGAUUCCUGAGAGACUACAUGGAGCAUGCCCUCUGCCAAAUUGUGUUGGAUAUGCAGCAUGUAAAGGAAACAAACACUUGUUGUGUAAAGGCACUGGCAUUUAGAGGUUAAUUGGGAAUGCAGUAUAUCUAGCCUGUCCUAAUUAAUGAUGAAAUUAGUACCAGUGGUGUGAUGUGGUCACUGAAAAACUAAAAAUGAUAAAGGGCAAGGACACUAAGAAAACAGGCUGGAGUAAUAGCAAUCUGUGCUCUGCAAUGGCCAGACAUUGGAUAAAACUGUGCUCUCCAGUAACUGGCAAGGGAGACGGUACA